rnacentral:rRNA from 1 species
AACGAACGCUGGCGGCGUGCCUAACACAUGCAAGUCGAACGGAGAUAAGGGGCUUGCUCCUUAUUUUAGUGGCGCACGGGUGAGUAACGCGUAGAUAAUCUGCCUGAUGAUCUGGGAUAACAGUUCGAAAGGACUGCUAAUACCGGAUAAGCCCACGGGGUCUUUGGACUCUGCGGGAAAAGGGGGGGACCUUCGGGCCUUCUGUCAUCAGAUGAGUCUGCGUACCAUUAGCUAGUUGGUAGGGUAAUGGCCUACCAAGGCUACGAUGGUUGGCUGGUCUGAGAGGAUGAUCAGCCACACUGGAACGGAGACACGGUCCAGACUCCUAGGGGAGGUAGCAGUGGGGAAUUUUGCGCAAUGGGCGAAAGCCUGACGCAGCAACGCCGCGUGAGUGAUGAAGGCUUUCGGGUCGUAAAGCUCUGUCAGAGGGAAAGAAGUGUAUUGUGGCUAAUAUCCGCGAUACUUGACGGUACCCUCAAAGGAAGCACCGGCUAACUCCGUGCCAGCCGCCGCCGUAACAC